ACAGGAGGUGCCAAGAUUGGAUAAAACAAGACACGCAGAUGUUGAUGUUGCCUGGCUUCUUCUCUGCUUGAAAUUCUUUCUGACUUAAAAACAAUUUAAGUGUUGAGGAUUGAACCCAGGGCCUUACACAUGCUAGGCAAGUGCUCUACCACCGAGCUGUAUCUCCAGCCUAUUGUACUUGUUGAUAAGAAGACUGAGGCUCAGCAGGAUUGAGAAAGGGAGCUUUAACUAUCUGCCUGAUACCAUGGCCCAAGUCCCCACGCCUGCUCCCUGAGCUAUGUGUUCUAAACUGUUAGUUGUGGACAUACCAUCAGCCCCAAUUUUUCCGUCUCCAUCAUUAUCUGCAGCGGCCAUCAAAGAUUUGGUUUCUGACUCGGUAUCCACUCUGGUCAUUGUCUAUGAACCGGAAAACGUCUUUCACCUGACUGGCUGACAUCUUGGAGAGGCCUGAUGUCUGGAAGAAUUUUUGGGGCUCAAAAGUGUCUGGAUCUGAAGAACAGAGAAUGGACUGGUUAUUUUGAUACUCCUUGAAGCACAUGCUAUGUUUGGGCCAUGGUGCUGAAGAC